UUUAGAGUUUGAUUCUGGCUCAGAUUGAACGCUGGCGGCAGGCCUAACACAUGCAAGUCGAACGGUAACAGGAAGCAGCUUGCUGCUUUGCUGACGAGUGGCGGACGGGUGAGUAAUGUCUGGGAAACUGCCUGAUGGAGGGGGAUAACUACUGGAAACGGUGGCUAAUACCGCAUAACGUCGCAAGACCAAAGAGGGGGACCUUCGGGCCUCUUGCCAUCAGAUGUGCCCAGAUGGGAUUAGCUUGUUGGUGAGGUAACGGCUCACCAAGGCGACGAUCCCUAGCUGGUCUGAGAGGAUGACCAGCCACACUGGAACUGAGACACGGUCCAGACUCCUACGGGAGGCAGCAGUGGGGAAUAUUGCACAAUGGGCGCAAGCCUGAUGCAGCCAUGCCGCGUGUAUGAAGAAGGCCUUCGGGUUGUAAAGUACUUUCAGCGGGGAGGAAGGUGUUGUGGUUAAUAACCGCAGCAAUUGACGUUACCCGCAGAAGAAGCACCGGCUAACUCCGUGCCAGCAGCCGCGGUAAUACGGAGGGUGCAAGCGUUAAUCGGAAUUACUGGGCGUAAAGCGCACGCAGGCGGUCUGUCAAGUCGGAUGUGAAAUCCCCGGGCUCAACCUGGGAACUGCAUUCGAAACUGGCAGGCUUGAGUCUUGUAGAGGGGGGUAGAAUUCCAGGUGUAGCGGUGAAAUGCGUAGAGAUCUGGAGGAAUACCGGUGGCGAAGGCGGCCCCCUGGACAAAGACUGACGCUCAGGUGCGAAAGCGUGGGGAGCAAACAGGAUUAGAUACCCUGGUAGUCCACGCCGUAAACGAUGUCUACUUGGAGGUUGUGCCCUUGAGGCGUGGCUUCCGGAGCUAACGCGUUAAGUAGACCGCCUGGGGAGUACGGCCGCAAGGUUAAAACUCAAAUGAAUUGACGGGGGCCCGCACAAGCGGUGGAGCAUGUGGUUUAAUUCGAUGCAACGCGAAGAACCUUACCUGGUCUUGACAUCCACAGAACUUUCCAGAGAUGGAUUGGUGCCUUCGGGAACUGUGAGACAGGUGCUGCAUGGCUGUCGUCAGCUCGUGUUGUGAAAUGUUGGGUUAAGUCCCGCAACGAGCGCAACCCUUAUCCUUUGUUGCCAGCGGUCCGGCCGGGAACUCAAAGGAGACUGCCAGUGAUAAACUGGAGGAAGGUGGGGAUGACGUCAAGUCAUCAUGGCCCUUACGACCAGGGCUACACACGUGCUACAAUGGCGCAUACAAAGAGAAGCGACCUCGCGAGAGCAAGCGGACCUCAUAAAGUGCGUCGUAGUCCGGAUUGGAGUCUGCAACUCGACUCCAUGAAGUCGGAAUCGCUAGUAAUCGUGGAUCAGAAUGCCACGGUGAAUACGUUCCCGGGCCUUGUACACACCGCCCGUCACACCAUGGGAGUGGGUUGCAAAAGAAGUAGGUAGCUUAACCUUCGGGAGGGCGCUUACCACUUUGUGAUUCAUGACUGGGGUGAAUCGUACAGGGGGAA
rnacentral:rRNA from 1 species